rnacentral:rRNA from 1 species
AGCAGCCGCGGUAAUUCCAGCUCCAAUAGCGUAUAUUAAAGUUGUUGCAGUUAAAAAGCUCGUAGUUGAAUUUCGAGAUCAAAUUGUUGGUCGUGCCUUGGUACGCACUGGCAUUAUUGGUUUCUCCCUUCUGACGAACCAUGAUGUCAUUAAUUUGGUGUCUUGGGGAAUCAGGACUGUUACUUUGAAAAAAUUAGAGUGUUUAAAGCAGGCUCACGCUUGAAUACAUUAGCAUGGAAUAAUGAAAUAGGACGUUUGAUUCUAUUUUGUUGGUUUCUAGGAUCGACGUAAUGAUUAAUAGGGAUAGUUGGGGGCAUUAGUAUUCAAUUGUCAGAGGUGAAAUUCUUGGAUUUAUUGAAGACUAACUACUGCGAAAGCAUUUGCCAAGGAUGUUUUCAUUAAUCAAGAACGAAAGUUAGGGGAUCGAAGACGAUCAGAUACCGUCGUAGUCUUAACCAUAAACUAUGCCGACUAGGGAUCGGAUGAUGUUAAUUUUUAAUGA